UUAAACUUUUCUAGGCUGCCCUACCUCCCUUGCCUAGAAAGACUUACUUUUUUGCCUUUCAAGGCAGAAAAAAGGGCUAGAAAAAAAAUAACGACGCUUGAAUAAUUUUAUAAGAAAACACUGUUUCAUUGAGUUCUUUUUGGUGUUUUAUGAAGUUUUCUAGUGUUGAAGCAAUUUCUGGUUAGCUGAUACUAAGAUAGCUUAAGGUCGAGUCUGGUUUGGGGUCUGCUGGUUCAUUGAGCGACUGAAAUUAGUGUCUAAAUUAUUGUAUCUCAUAUGUUGGGUUUAAAAUUGGUCCGCUGGUUCAUUUUCUGGGUGCUGGGUGCUACUGUUGUUGCUGUUUAAUGCGAUCACCACUUUUCCUUUUGUAAUCUCCAGGUACACUACCCAAAACUUGUUGUGGUAUUAAGCAUUGACUAGCAUGUAUGAAGAUCUGGAAAUGCAAGUUGAAGUUUGAAUAGAAAUCAUAGAAUUCUUAUAUAAUUACUAUCCGUUACUACCAUUAUGUGUGGUUAAAUGCUUCUGUUUUUCAAUUUUUUGUUUAUGUUGAGUUGAUUGUUCAUGCUAAUAGCUUAGGGUAGUUCAGAUUUAGUGUGUAACCUCAGAGUAUUGGAUGUUGCAACGUUGUUUGAACUCGAUUUGCAUAAACAGACUGUUAACAUUAUUGUAGUAAAGGUUUAUGUGAAGCUGUGUAUGAUAUAGUUACGUUUAAAUUCUGCUAGAAAUCGUGGGUGUUCAGUUUUAAAAUGU
rnacentral:lncRNA from 1 species